rnacentral:lncRNA from 1 species
AUCUUGAAAACGGAAAAUAAAAACAGCAGACCUAUGAAGGUCGAAGGGGAAGAAAAGCUGUAUCGAUUGUUGAGAUCUGGCGACUUGUUUAAAUUUCAUCAGCCUCACUUCUAUGAACUCUCAGGCCUCACGUGUACCAGCUCUCUGCUCUCCUUUGCCUUGGGACGUUCCAUCCCUGGAAGUUUCCCUGCCCACAUCUUUGUAGAGAGUCCAUUCUCCAAGCUUCAGUGUGUCAUCUGUGAGGACCGUGACCCACCUGGUACAUCGCCUCAGGGCAUUCAUUUCAGGCUCCUUCUAAAUGGCCAAGUUUUCAAGAUUGUUUUGGCUCUAGCAAAACAAGUUGGAACAUUCACAUCAUCCAGUUUCAAGUUCAGAAUAGUCGAAACAGGCCUUUUCAAGAACAGUAUUCAUUGAAAUGCAUCAAAGCUCUUCUGCCAGCCUAACAAGCAUAGCAAGAAGAUAUAGCCCCACAACCACUUUAUGCACAAAGUUAGAAGCAUAAAAUCUCAUGGAAGGAGACCGAUUAUCUACAGAAGAGGUUGUCUUGCCAUUUCUCUCAUGUUAGAGGUAAACCUCAGGUUCUCCUCCUGCCUUUUGCUAAGUAUAUGUCUUGAUGACAAGCCUUCUGCUGAUGAGCUGUGUUUCUGGACCGAUCAUGGUAGAAGUCAAUUAACGUGUCCCUCACUUGGGGUUUCUCAAGGCUGCACUGAUGAGGAAACUGAAACAGAAAAUCCAGAGUAAAUUCCACCAGGCCACACAGCAAGGUCUGAUAGAGCCAGGAGAGACUUUAUGAAAUCCAGACUCUCACACUAAUGCUCUAUCAGCUAGACCUCCAUGUGAGUCUCCCCAAUGUAGGUAGGAAGUGCUUUCCC